GGGCAUACAAAUGCUACCCUAUUUUAAAUGUAGGUGGCGUAUGUGUUCGUGUUUUAAUGUAUUCAGAGCCAUUGGGCAAUAAGCAGUCCAGAACAUGAAAACUCAAGCAGCAGAGAAAUAAACUGGUAGGUGGCAGCAGAAGAAAGAAUUCUUCAGAUUGAUGGCUACUGACAAAAUCUGCAUAGGAGAAGAGAUAGAGCAUGACAUACCACGACAAGCAAAGGGGGCAAAAAUGGAAACAGGACUACGAUCCCUGAUCUUGACUCUUAAAUGGUUCUUUUGAUCUCGCAGAAUGGAUGAAGACUAUAUGUUUUCUCAAAUGGAGGAUAGAAGUACACAGAACAAGGAAGCAAUAGCUCUAACCUGUUUAAUUCAGUGUGCUUUCUAAAAUAAAAACACCCGAACUGGAAAUGAAA